UACAGAGGGUGCAAGCGUUAAUCGGAUUUACUGGGCGUAAAGCGUGCGUAGGCGGUUCGCUAAGUCGGUUGUGAAAUCCCUGGGCUCAACCUGGAGACGCCACCCGAUACUGCUGUGGCUAGAGUCCGGUAGGGGAGCGUGGAAUUCCUGGUGUAGCGGUGAAAUGCGCAGAUAUCAGGAGGAACACCAGCGGCGAAGGCGGCGCUCUGGGCCGGUACUGACGCUGAGGAGCGAAAGCGUGGGGAGCAAACAGG
rnacentral:rRNA from 1 species